UAAAACAAGUUUAAAAUUUAAUUUUUUACAGCUUACUGCCCCUGUUUGUCCUUCAGUGACACAAUAAAGACUGCUUCUUCCACCAUUCUCUGGAAAAUCUCUUUUUUGAUAUGCUUACUGCCCCUGUUGUCCUUCAGUGACACAAUAAAGCCUGCUUCUUCCACCAUUCUCUGGGAAAAACCCUUUUUUGCUAUGCUUACUACCCCUGUUGUCCUUCAGCGACACAAUGAAGACUGCUUCUUCCUCCAUUCUCUGGAAAAAAGUCCCUUUUUUGCCAUACUUACUGCCCCUGUUUGUCCUUCAGCGACACAAUAAAGUAUAUAUAAUGUAAUGCUUCAGUAUAUGAAAAUGCUGAUGUGCGAUAUGAAGUUGGAAUCCAUGGCGGCAACAGAGUAUUAACUUUUUGGGCCAGAUUCAAAAGAGUGGGUAAAUUUAUAAAAGUAUUUAAUAUCGUCACUGUAGUUUUAGGAUCCAGUAUACUUAAAAUGUUGUGUUUUGUAUAAGAUUUUUAGUUUUUAGUAUAAGCAUUUAUUUUUGUUAAUUUUUAUCUAAUCUCUCCUAAUAUGCAUAAUAACUAAAUACG